GCCCGAGUGGUGAAAUUGGUAUACACGACGGACUCAAAAUCCGUUUUCUUUGGAAAUGACGGUUCAAGUCCGUCCUCGGGCA
rnacentral:tRNA from 1 species